rnacentral:rRNA from 1 species
GUCUUCCUCCUCCGGUGCCGCUCAGUCCCAUCUCAAUGGGCAAGUCAUCAGGAAGCUUUCUCACACGAACUACGUGCUGUGGCGCACGCAGAUCACACCCCAACUGCGUGGCGCCGGUGUUUCGGCUACAUCGAUGGCACAUCACUGGAGCCGGCCAAGCUCCGCGCCGCCAAGGACAAGGACGGCAAGGACACCUCCGAGCCCAACCCUCUCCACCCUCUCUGGGUCAGGGAGGACCAGCAGGUGCUCGGUUUCCUCCUCAGCAACCUCUCCAAGGAGGUGCUGGUCACGGUGACCACGGUCACCACGGCGGGCGCGCUCUGGACGACGCUGGCGGGCAUGUACUCGUCGCAGUCGCUGAGUCGCGUCAACAACAUCAGAACCUCCCUCAUCAACGCGCAGAAAGGUAGCCAAUCCGCCGCCACCUACUUCGCCUACAUGCGUGGCCUCGCCGACGAGCUGGCCGCGGCGGGCAAACCGAUCCAGGAUGAUGAGUUGAUCUCAUAUAUCCUCCAUGGGCUGGAUCUGGAGUACCAGCCCCUGGUCUCGGCCCUUGACGCCCGCGUCUCGCCCGCUUCCCUCGAUGAGAUCUUCGCCAUGCUCAGCAACUUCGACCAACGCAUGGCGCAGUUCCACGGUGCGGGCGGCCACUCCUUCAAGUCUUCCGCAAACGCGGCAACCCGCGGCCGUGGUGGUGGUCGUUCCCGCGGCUCUUCCCGCGGCAGAGGGCGCUCUGGUGGCAGCAGCAACAACAGCGGGCGCUUCACCAACAAGGCUCGCCGUGGCGGCGGCAGUGGCUCUGGUCGAUCUCGCCCGGACUCACCUCGCUGCCAGAUAUGUGGUAAGCCAGGUCACACAGCCAAAGACUGCUGGUACCGCUAUGAUGAGGACGAGGACGACUCUCAAGACGAUGACAAGGUCGCUGCUGCGGCCGAUGGCUCCUACGGCAUCGACACCAAC